CUCCCAACCCCUGUGACAUACCACUUGUUGCCUCGGCGGAUCAGCCCGCUCCCGGUAAAACGGGACGGCCCGCCAGAGGACCCCUAAACUCUGUUUCUAUAUGUAACUUCUGAGUAAAACCAUAAAUAAAUCAAAACUUUCAACAACGGAUCUCUUGGUUCUGGCAUCGAUGAAGAACGCAGCAAAAUGCGAUAAGUAAUGUGAAUUGCAGAAUUCAGUGAAUCAUCGAAUCUUUGAACGCACAUUGCGCCCGCCAGUAUUCUGGCGGGCAUGCCUGUUCGAGCGUCAUUUCAACCCUCAAGCACAGCUUGGUGUUGGGACUCGCGUUAAUUCGCGUUCCCCAAAUUGAUUGGCGGUCACGUCGAGCUUCCAUAGCGUAGUAGUAAAACCCUCGUUACUGGUAAUCGUCGCGGCCACGCCGUUAAACCCCAACUUCUGAAUGUUGACCUCGGAUCAGGUAGGAAUACCCGCUGAACUUAAGCAUAUCAAUAAGCGGGGGAAAAAGAAA
rnacentral:rRNA from 1 species